GACGAACGCUGGCGGCGUGCUUAACACAUGCAAGUCGAACGGAAAGGCCCUGGUUUUGUGGGGUGCUCGAGUGGCGAACGGGUGAGUAACACGUGAGUAACCUGCCCUUGACUUUGGGAUAACUUCAGGAAACUGGGGCUAAUACCGGAUACGAGUUCCUGCUGCAUGGUGGGGGGUGGAAAUUUUCUGCGGUUGGGGAGGGACUCGAGGGUUAUCAGUCUGUGGGUGGGGUAGUGGCUUACCAAGGUUUUGACGGGUAGUCGGCCUGAGGGGGUGACCGGCCACACUGGUACUGAUAUACGGACGAGACUCAUACGGGCGGCAGGAGUGAGGAAUGAUGAACGAUGGACGGAAGCAUGAUGCAGCAACGACGCGUGCGGGGUGAAGGCCUUUGUGUUGUGCACCGAUUUCGCCUAUGACGAAGCGUGAGUGACGGUAAUGGGUAAAGAAGCACCGGCUAACUACGUG
rnacentral:rRNA from 1 species